rnacentral:rRNA from 1 species
GACGAACGCUGGCGGCGUGCUUAACACAUGCAAGUCGAACGGAAAGGCCCUGCUUUUGUGGGGUGCUCGAGUGGCGAACGGGUGAGUAACGCGUGAGUAACCUGCCCUUGACUUUGGGAUAACUUCAGGAAACUGGGGCUAAUACCGGAUAGGAGCUCCUGCUGCAUGGUGGGGGUUGGAAAGUUUCGGUGGUUGGGGAUGGACUCGCGGCUUAUCAGCUUGUUGGUGGGGUAGUGGCUUACCAAGGCUUUGACGGGUAGCCGGCCUGAGAGGGUGACCGGCCACAUUGGGACUGAGAUACGGCCCAGACUCCUACGGGAGGCAGCAGUGGGGAAUAUUGCACAAUGGGCGGAAGCCUGAUGCAGCAACGCCGCGUGCGGGAUGACGGCCUUCGGGUUGUAAACCGCUUUCGCCUGUGACGAAGCGUGAGUGACGGUAAUGGGUAAAGAAGCACCGGCUAACUACGUG